GACGAACGCUGGCGGCGUGCUUAACACAUGCAAGUCGAACGGCAAGGCACUGCUAUUGUGGUGUGCUCGAGUGGCGAACGCGUGAGUAACACGUGAGUAACCUGCCCUAGACUUUGGGAUAACUUCAGGAAACUGGGCCUACUACCGUAUCGCAGCUCCUGCAGCAUGGUGGGGGUUGGAAAGUUUCGGCCGGUGCGGAUGGACGCGCGGGUUAACGGCUUGCUGGUGGGGUAGGGGCUUACCCAGGCUUUGACGGGUAACCGGCCUGAGAGGGUGAACGGCCACAUGGGGACUGAGAGAGGGCCCAGUCGCCAACAGUAGGCAGUAGUGGGGAAUAUGGCACAACGGGCGGAAGCCGGAGGCAGCAGCGCUGCGGGCGGGAUGACGGCCUUCGGGGUGUAAACCGCUGUCGCCUGUGACGAAGCUGUAGUGACGGUAAUGGGUAAAGAAGCACCGGCUAACUACGUG
rnacentral:rRNA from 1 species